rnacentral:rRNA from 1 species
GAUGAACGCUAGCGGCAGGCCUAAUACAUGCAAGUCGAACGGUGUCUUCGGACAUAGUGGCGCACGGGUGCGUAACACGUAUGCAACCUACCUUACAUUGGGGGAUAGCCUUUCGAAAGGGAGAUUAAUACCGCAUAAGACAGUAACUAGGCAUCUAGUAGCUGUUAAAGAUUUAUCGAUGUAAGCUGGGCAUGCGACCAAUUAGCUUGUUGGUGAGGUAACGGCUCACCAAGGCUAUGAUUGGUAGGGGAACUGAGAGGUCAAUCCCCCACACUGGCACUGAGAUACGGGCCAGACUCCUACGGGAGGCAGCAGUAGGGAAUAUUGGGCAAUGGACGCAAGUCUGACCCAGCCAUGCCGCGUGCAGGAUGAAGGCGUUAUGCGUUGUAAACUGCUUUUAUACAGGAAGAAACGACUCUUGCGAGAGGCAUUGACGGUACUGUAUGAAUAAGCACCGGCUAACUCCGUGCCAGCAGCCGCGGUAAUACGGAGGGUGCAAGCGUUGUCCGGAUUUAUUGGGUUUAAAGGGUGCGCAGGUGGUUUAUUAAGUCAGUGGUGAAAGACGGUCGCUCAACGAUUGCAGUGCCAUUGAAACUGGUAGACUUGAGUAAAGUAGAGGUGGGCGGAAUUGAUAGUGUAGCGGUGAAAUGCAUAGAUAUUAUCAAGAACUCCAAUUGCGUAGGCAGCUCACUUGGCUUUUACUGACACUCAUGCACGAAAGUGUGGGUAUCAAACAGGAUUAGAUACCCUGGUAGUCCACACUGCAAACGAUGAUAACUAGGUGUCGGCCGAAUCUGGUCGGUGCCACAGCGAAAGCGUUAAGUUAUCCACCUGGGGAGUACGCCGGCAACGGUG